GCGAGCGACGCACCGCUCGGGGUCUUCGCGAGGUGUUUCGCCCUGCCGAGACCUGACCAAGAGUGGUGAACGAUUAAGACUGGAGUGUGGCUGAAGCAAGAUGAUAAGUCUUGGAGUUUGAGGGAUCACUCCUGAUUCUUGGAUUUUAGAGAAAUCCUUCACCAAGCAUGAAGAAGAGCAUCCAGGUGUCACAGUAUCCCCAAAAAAGAGACUGAAGAAUGCUCUCCUAGAGAAAAUGAACUCAGAGAAAAGCAGCUAUCAUUGCGAGGAUAACAAAGGAAGCAGAGGAAGUCUGCUCUGGAGGCACCGUGACAAAGCACCAGACAGAAAGCAGUCACGUGUGGGGAGACGAACAGAGACACCACUUCUCAGGCACCUGAUUAUUCUUUCUCAGUAUUUAGAAGCAAAAAUUAUCCUUAAGAAAAACAACUGCAAGCACAACACCACCAGCUACACAGAUGAGAAAAUGGGAUUUCAAGAGGGAAGGCUGGAGAGGAAGGUGACUGGAAUAUUAAGAACUGUGUGAUAUUCGAGGAAACACUAAUUUGUAAAUUGGUAGAAAUGCCAGUAAUUUGUUGGGAAUUGAAGACCUUCUGUAUUCAAGAGUGAAGCUUGGCAGCUGUGCACUGUUGUUUUAUAAAUCAAUAUUACAUCUGAAGGUGCUGUUUGAAUGUUUGUGUCAUUGGGGCUUGUCUCCAGCAUAGUUCUGUGAUAAGAAAUGUUCAAACAAAACAAACACAGUCCCUUCCCGGUCCUUUAGGAUAAAGUCCAAACAUAAUUCCACAACAGGGAUAUAACAUUCAAAUCAACUAAAGAACUUCUGUAAUUAUAUAAAACCCCUCAACCACAGAAAUGCGAUUGAAUUGGAGAUGCUUUGCAGAAUUCCCCAAUACAAGACCAUGUGGCUGUCAGAUUAACAAAAGUCAAGAGGAGGUGAGACAAUGCUCACCACUGCAAAAGGAGCUUCAUGCAUAAUGAACGGAAUAUGCAUGCCUGUUUAGGAAAUUAAGGUGAAUCCAAGGUGACUUAAGGUCACAUGAGGAGUCACAACGGUCACUAACUGGAAAAGUGAGCAUUAAAAAUUAGUCAUUUGGUUUAAAUAAAUUCAUCUCAAUCUUUAUUAGGUACCAUAUAGGCUUAAUCAAAAAUAAUUGCUUGAGUGAAUUUUUCGGUGUCAUCUGGUUAUUAUCGGGCUCUGAGCUUCUGUGAUUCUGUGGUGUGAUUCUGGUUGCUGCCGGAGAGUUCAAGCUGAGCUGCUUUUUGAUUGUUGUCAAUUCUCCCUACCGUUUAAAUACAGCCCACUUGCACAGUUAACGACUGGGGUGAGCCAUGGAGAGGGGGGGUGUUUAGAACAAAUAGAUUAAUUCAUUUUUAUAGAUAAAACCUGAUACAUGAUCAGCAGGGGGAAAAUGACAUGUUAUUGUCAUCUUACUUACCCAAGAACUAUCAGUCUCAUUCAGACUAUGGAGAAAACAGGCCAUACCAGGGAUUCUAAAAGACCAGAACCAAAUAAAUAAAUAAAUAAGACCAGAAGCAAACCACGGAUGGAGCUGAAUGCCUCAACUGUUCUGGUCCAGUGGUUUCCAAACUUUUCUUUUUAUCACAUCUGCCAUCAGUAAAAUAUUUUUGAGUAUACGCUUCCAAUAUGUCUACAACCAAAUGACUAAUUUGCGAAACACCCUUGGUUUGAGAGAGAGAUGGAAGGUGAUGCAGAUGAGUGUGUGUGAAAAAUCCUAGGGGAAUCUUAGUGGUGGGGAAAGAAAGGAAAAAUAACUUGACUUGGGCAGAGAACCCUGGCUCUGCCAUUUGCGAAUUGUGCAACUUUGAAGCUCAAGUUUGAGGGACUAGGUAGAAUUCACUGUGUCCUUUAACUCAACAACUUUUCUGUAAAAUAGGGAUAAUAAAGCCUAGUUUUCAGUCAUUUGAGCAUCAAGAAUAAUUUAUAUAAAGCAGUGCACGAGUGUUUUGUAGCAGUUGCUCAAUAAACAGUGGUCACUACUACUAUAAUAGAGCUGGAGGAGAUGACAAAUUUUAGGCUUUGCCAAGAAUAUCCAUUCUGUCUUCAAGUGAAAAGAAUAAUAAUUUUGGUAAUCAGGAGAACAUUUUUCUUUUAGAAUUUAAAGUCUUCUCAUUGCAAUUGUCAUAUUUAAUCCUCACAAUGAAUUUGAAAGAUAGCCAGGACAACUGUAAGCGCCCCCAUUUUAAAGGUCUAGAAUGCUUGAUGAAUCAUGGUCCUAUAGCAGUGAAUCUGGGAAUUGAACUCAGGACUCCUGAUUUCUGGACCAGAGGUGGGGAGGAAGCAGACAUAUUUGGUACAUACUACUUUUUAUCAAAUAAUACAACCAAAUAGCUGUGUGUUUAUAUAUACACAUAUAUAUGUAUAUACACAGACACACAUAUAUUGAUUUAAAGAAUUUUUUUCAUCUUUGCAAUUGGCUCUGUUUAGUCCAGCCUUUCCUCUAUCUCUCUUCUCUCCAUCAUCUGGCAAAUUCUUUGAUAAAAUAAUUACUAGCACAACAUGAUGAAUUGAAGAAAUGGAUAAAGCAUCUGUUACAUGUGUUCUCACUAAAACUUUGCUUUGGCUGUUAUUUUGAGACAUAAUAAGCAGUAAAUAUCUCUAUCUUUCAUUAAACAUGUUUUUGUUUCCUUUCCAUCAACUUAAAAGUUGAAUGAUGGUUACCAAAAAAAAUAAAAAAGAAUUAAAUUUUAAAAGGGGAAGGGGAAAAAAACCCAAAGACAUAAAAUCAAACUAAAAGCAAGUUUCACAUCUACCAAACGCCACCUUUAGCUCUCCUAUCUAACAAAUUAUGCUGCAAAAAAUGCAGGGCAUUUAAGAAAUAUUGACUGAUAUCCUUGCUGUUUCCAGACAGGACAGAAAGACUGCUGUAUGUUGUCUUGAUUCUGGUGUCUGCACUGGGUUGAAUAGUGUUCCCCAAAACUCAUGUCCACUAGAACCUCAGAAUAUGACCUUGUUUGGAAAUAGGGUCUUUGUAGGUAUAAUUAGUUAACGUGAGAUAUUCUGGAUCAGAGUGUGCCCUAAGUGCAAUAUGACUGGUGUCCUUAUAAGAAGAGGAGAGAACACCCAGAUCCAGAGACACACACAGAGAAUACAACCAUGUGAAGAUGGAGGUGGGAAUGAUGUAGAUACAAGACAAGGAAUGCUAAGGGUUUCCAGCAACUAUGAGAAGCUAGAAAAUGCAAAAAAGCGUUCUUCCCUAGAGACUUUGGAGGAAGCUAUUCCUGCUUACCCCUUGAUUUAGGACUUCUGGCCCCUAGAACUCUGAGAUAAUAAACUUUUGUUGUUUUAGCCAUUUAGUUUGUCAUAAUCUGUUACUACAGACCCAAGUAACUUAUGUGCUUAACUGUACUAUAUUAAAGUUGU